UACGUAGGGACCAAGCGUUGUCCGGAAUCAUUGGGCGUAAAGAGCGUGUAGGCGGCUUGUUAAGUCUUGCGUGAAAUCUCGGGGCUCAACCCCGAGCGGUCGUGAGAAACUGGCAGGCUAGAGUGCGGGAGAGGAGAGUGGAAUUCCUGGUGUAGCGGUGAAAUGCGCAGAUAUCAGGAGGAACACCAGUGGCGAAGGCGGUGAUCUGGGCCGAUACUGACGCUGUAGAGCGAAAGCGUGGGGAGCGAACAGG
rnacentral:rRNA from 1 species